UACGGGGGGGGCAAGCGUUGUUCGGAAUUACUGAGCGUAAAGGGCGCGUAGGCGGCCUACUAAGUCGGACGUGAAAUCCCUCGGCUCAACCGAGGAACUGCGUCCGAUACUGGCAGGCUGGAAUCCGGGAGAGGGAUGUGGAAUUCCAGGUGUAGCGGUGAAAUGCGUAGAUAUCUGGAGGAACACCGGUGGCGAAGGCGGCAUCCUGGACCGGUAUUGACGCUGAGGCGCGAAAGCUAGGGGAGCAAACGGG
rnacentral:rRNA from 1 species